rnacentral:rRNA from 1 species
GACGAACGCUGGCGGCGUGCUUAACACAUGCAAGUCGAGCGGUAAGGCCCUUUCGGGGGUACACGAGCGGCGAACGGGUGAGUAACACGUGGGUGACCUGCCCUCAGCUCUGGGGAUAAGCCUGGGAAACCGGGUCUAAUACUGGAUAUGACUCCAUGACGCAUGUUGUGGGGUGGAAAGCCUUGUGCGGCUAGAGAUGGGCCCGCGGCCUAUCAGCUUGUUGGUGGGGNGAUGGCCUACCAAGGCGACGACGGGUAGCCGGCCUGAGAGGGCGACCGGCCACACUGGGACUGAGACACGGCCCAGACUCCUACGGGAGGCAGCAGUGGGGAAUCUUGCGCAAUGGGCGAAAGCCUGACGCAGCGACGCCGCGUGAGGGAUGACGGCCU